rnacentral:rRNA from 1 species
UACGUAGGGGCCAAGCGUUGUCCGGAUUUAUUGGGCGUAAAGAGCUCGUAGGCGGUUGGGUAAGUCGGGUGUGAAAACUCCAGGCUCAACUUGGAGAUGCCACCCGAUACUGCUCUGACUUGAGUUCGGUAGGGGAGUGGGGAAUUCCUGGUGUAGCGGUGAAAUGCGCAGAUAUCAGGAGGAACACCGGUGGCGAAGGCGCCACUCUGGGCCGAAACUGACGCUGAGGAGCGAAAGCGUGGGUAGCAAGCAGG